UAAAGGAACGAGGCUCCACUUAUGAGAAUACAAAGUAAGUGCUAUUAGUCUGCCAGCCAAAGACAGGCUUUUUCCAGACAUUCACAGAGGUCUGCACAGCUGCAGGCUCUUUAGUGACCGACAGCUUCCCCGGGGCCCAGGAGCGUCUGUGGCUGCAGAUCCGUGUACUGGAACCCCAGGACUCCAAGGAAAGGUUUUAAUCCGAGGCAAGACCAGCAACCUUGGGGACCUUCCAGGGAAUUUUCUCCUCCCUUGACUUGAGAGCACGCCCCAUGAUUGAUGGAUUCAGUUCAGAUACUGUGUGUCUCGCAGGUGAACCUUACCAAAAAGAGCAAUAUCGUUGUUCUUUAAUUUUGUGAAAACAGAGAUUCCUCCCCUGCAAGGAAGAAGAUCAGAGAGGCCGUAUCCUAGAUGUCACUUCGGCAUUCCCAAAGUACGUGGGCCUCUCACUGCUGCGGCCUCUCCC